UCAAGCGAACAAGUGCAUGUGGUGGAUGCCUUGGCGAUCACAGGCGAUGAAGGACGCGGUAGCCUGCGAAAAGCUACGGGGAGCUGGCAAACGAGCUUUGAUCCGUAGAUGUCCGAAUGGGGAAACCCGGCCCUUUUGGGUCAUCCUGGACUGAAUACAUAGGUCCAGUGAAGCGAACGCGGUGAACUGAAACAUCUAAGUAACCGCAGGAAAAGAAAUCAACCGAGAUUCCCAAAGUAGUGGCGAGCGAAAUGGGAUGAGCCUUGCACUCUUUAUUUGUAUUGUUAGCCGAACGCUCUGGAAAGUGCGGCCAUAGCAGGUGAUAGCCCUGUAGGCGAAAACAGUAUGAAAGAACUAGGUGUGCGACAAGUAGGGCGGGACACGUGAAAUCCUGUCUGAAGAUGGGGGGACCAUCCUCCAAGGCUAAAUACUCGUGAUCGACCGAUAGUGAACCAGUACCGUGAGGGAAAGGCGAAAAGAACCCCGGGAGGGGAGUGAAAUAGAUCCUGAAACCGCAUGCAUACAAACAGUCGGAGCCUCGCAAGGGGUGACGGCGUACCUUUUGUAUAAUGGGUCAGCGACUUACGUUCAGUAGCAAGCUUAACCGUAUAGGGCAGGCGUAGCGAAAGCGAGUCCGAAUAGGGCGUUCAGUUGCUGGGCGUAGACCCGAAACCAGGUGAUCUAUCCAUGGCCAGGAUGAAGGUGCGGUAACACGUACUGGAGGUCCGAACCCACUAACGUUGAAAAGUUAGGGGAUGAGCUGUGGAUAGGGGUGAAAGGCUAAACAAACCUGGAAAUAGCUGGUUCUCUCCGAAAACUAUUUAGGUAGUGCCUCGUGUCUCACCUUCGGGGGUAGAGCACUGUCAUGGUUGGGGGGUCUAUUGCAGAUUACCCCGCCAUAGCAAACUCCGAAUACCGAAGAGUGCAAUCACGGGAGACAGACAUCGGGUGCUAACGUCCGGUGUCAAGAGGGAAACAACCCAGACCGCCAGCUAAGGUCCCCAAAUAUAGCUAAGUGGGAAACGAAGUGGGAAGGCUAAAACAGUCAGGAGGUUGGCUUAGAAGCAGCCACCCUUUAAAGAAAGCGUAAUAGCUCACUGAUCGAGUCGUCCUGCGCGGAAGAUGUAACGGGGCUAAGCUAUAUACCGAAGCUGCGGAUGCGAGCUUGCUCGCAUGGUAGGAGAGCGUUCCGUAAGCCUGCGAAGGUGCCUUGUAAAGGGUGCUGGAGGUAUCGGAAGUGCGAAUGCUGACAUGAGUAGCGAUAAAGGGGGUGAAAGGCCCCCUCGCCGUAAGCCCAAGGUUUCCUACGCAACGUUCAUCGGCGUAGGGUGAGUCGGCCCCUAAGGCGAGGCAGAAAUGCGUAGCUGAUGGGAAGCAGGUCAAUAUUCCUGCACCAUUGUUAGAUGCGAUGGGGGGACGGAUCGCGGAAGGUUGUCCGGGUGUUGGAAGUCCCGGUCGCUGCAUUGGAGAAGGCGCUUAGGCAAAUCCGGGCGCGCAAUUCAAGGGUGUGGCGCGAGCUCCUUAGGGAGCGAAGCAAUUGGAAGUGGUUCCAAGAAAAGCCUCUAAGCUUCAGUCUAACGAUGACCGUACCGCAAACCGACACAGGUGGGCGAGAUGAGUAUUCUAAGGCGCUUGAGAGAACUCGGGAGAAGGAACUCGGCAAAUUGGUACCGUAACUUCGGGAUAAGGUACGCCCUUGUAGCUUGACUGGCCUGCGCCAGGAGGGUGAAGGGGUUGCAAUAAACUGGUGGCUGCGACUGUUUAAUAAAAACACAGCACUCUGCAAACACGAAAGUGGACGUAUAGGGUGUGACGCCUGCCCGGUGCCGGAAGAUUAAAUGAUGGGGUGCAAGCUCUUGAUUGAAGUCCCGGUAAACGGCGGCCGUAACUAUAACGGUCCUAAGGUAGCGAAAUUCCUUGUCGGGUAAGUUCCGACCUGCACGAAUGGCGUAACGAUGGCCACACUGUCUCCUCCCGAGACUCAGCGAAGUUGAAGUGUUUGUGAUGAUGCAAUCUACCCGCGGCUAGACGGAAAGACCCCAUGAACCUUUACUGUAGCUUUGCAUUGGACUUUGAACCGAUCUGUGUAGGAUAGGUGGGAGGCUAUGAAACCGGAACGCUAGUUUCGGUGGAGCCGUCCUUGAAAUACCACCCUGGUUUGUUUGAGGUUCUAACCUUGGCCCGUGGUCCGGGUCGGGGACAGUGCAUGGUAGGCAGUUUGACUGGGGCGGUCUCCUCCCAAAGCGUAACGGAGGAGUACGAAGGUACGCUAGGUACGGUCGGAAAUCGUGCUGAUAGUGCAAUGGCAUAAGCGUGCUUAACUGCGAGACCGACAAGUCGAGCAGGUGCGAAAGCAGGUCAUAGUGAUCCGGUGGUUCUGUAUGGAAGGGCCAUCGCUCAACGGAUAAAAGGUACUCUGGGGAUAACAGGCUGAUACCGCCCAAGAGUUCAUAUCGACGGCGGUGUUUGGCACCUCGAUGUCGGCUCAUCUCAUCCUGGGGCUGUAGCCGGUCCCAAGGGUAUGGCUGUUCGCCAUUUAAAGAGGUACGUGAGCUGGGUUUAAAACGUCGUGAGACAGUUUGGUCCCUAUCUGCCGUGGGCGUUGGAUAUUUGAAGGGGGCUGCUCCUAGUACGAGAGGACCGGAGUGGACGAACCUCUGGUGUACCGGUUGUCACGCCAGUGGCAUCGCCGGGUAGCUAUGUUCGGAAGAGAUAACCGCUGAAAGCAUCUAAGCGGGAAACUCGCCUUAAGAUGAGAUAUCCCUGGGGACUAGAUCCCCUUGAAGGGUCGUUCGAGACCAGGACGUUGAUAGGUCAGGUGUGUAAGCGCAGUAAUGCGUUCAGCUAACUGAUACUAAUUGCCCGUAAGGCUUGAUCC
rnacentral:rRNA from 1 species